rnacentral:tRNA from 1 species
UCUUUGUUAGUAUAUCGGUUAGUACACGCGCCUGUCAUUGCAUGGUGCGCGCGAAAGCUGGGUUCGACUCCCAGACAGAGAG